rnacentral:rRNA from 1 species
UGGGGAAUUUUGGACAAUGGGCGCAAGCCUGAUCCAGCCAUGCCGCGUGCGGGAAGAAGGCCUUCGGGUUGUAAACCGCUUUGUCAGGGAAGAAAUCUUCUGAGUUAAUACCUCGGGAGGAUGACGGUACCUGAAGAAUAAGCACCGGCUAACUACGUGCCAGCAGCCGCGGUAAUACGUAGGGUGCAAGCGUUAAUCGGAAUUACUGGGCGUAAAGCGUGCGCAGGCGGUUUUGUAAGACAGAGGUGAAAUCCCCGGGCUCAACCUGGGAACUGCCUUUGUGACUGCAAGGCUUGAGUGCGGCAGAGGGGGAUGGAAUUCCGCGUGUAGCAGUGAAAUGCGUAGAUAUGCGGAGGAAACACCGAUGGCGAAGGCAAUCCCCUGGGCCUGCACUGACGCUCAUGCACGAAAGCGUGGGGAGCAAACAGGAUUAGAUACCCUGGUAGUCCACGCCCUAAACGAUGUCAACUGGUUGUUGGGAAGGUUCCUUCUCAGUAACGUAGCUAACGCGUGAAGUUGACCGCCUGGGGAGUACGGCCGCAAGGUUGAAAACUUAAAUGAAUUGACGGGGUCAUAGCUGUUUCC